UACAGGGGGGGCAAGCGUUUGUUCGGAAUUACUGGGCGUAAAGGGCUCGUAGGUGGCCAACUAAGUCAGACGUGAAAUCCCUCAGCUUAACUGGGGAACUGCGUCUGAUACUGGAUGGCUUGAGUUUGGGAGAGGGAUGCAGAAUUCCAGGUGUAGCGGUGAAAUGCGUAGAUAUCUGGAGGAAUACCGGUGGCGAAGGCGGCAUCCUGGACCGACAUUGACGCUGAAAACCGAAAGCUAGGGGAGCAAACGGG
rnacentral:rRNA from 1 species